rnacentral:rRNA from 1 species
AAGGGAUAAGCUCAGCGCAAAAGAAGAUUUUCUUUGAGAAUUUUCGGUGUUGCGUUUGAAGUGUUUAAUUUGUGGAAGUGAUGUGGUCUAAAUUUCGCUGGAACGCGGUUGCAAAGAUGGUUUUACACCAGUUUGGCCAUAUUACUCUACAAAGUUGACAUUUUUGGAGUCGAGUUGUUUGGAAACGCAGCUCAAAGUGGGUGGUAAACUUCACCUAAAGCUAAAUACGGCUACGAGACCGAUAGCAAACAAGUACUGUGAAGGAAAGUUGAAAAGCACUUUGAAAAGAGAGUGCAAGAGAACGUGAAACCGUUAUAGUGGAAGCGGAUAGAGUUGACGUAUCUUGUAAGUAUUCAGCCAAUUUUUUGGGCAAUUUAUUGGUUUGAAGUUCUGCAAAGUCUUCAAUUAAUAUUGUUGUUUUUUGAAUUGGUGCAUUUGCUUACAGAGUGCGCCGAAUCGAUUGAAUUUGCUGUUUGAUGGUUGAAAAGAGGACUAGUUUACUAGAAACCUGGUCUUCCGGAGGACAGAUAAAUUUGGUUGUAAAAUGAGGCUGGUUUUUCGUGGCAAAAGUUUCAAGUUAAGGUUGUUUUUGUACGAUGCAUGCGUUUUGCAUUUYUGAUUUUGAYUUGGGAUUUUUGUUGCUCUGCCUUACAUUCGGUGUUUAGUYGAUCACCUAUUUGACCCGUCUUGAAACACGGACCAAGGAGUUUAAGGUGUACGCAAGUCAUUGAUUAUUAAAAGUCAUAGGCGUAAUGAAAGUGGGACACUUGGUGUCUGUGAUGUGAACUUGGAUUGUUUCGACGAUUCUAGUGCAACAUCGACCCAUGACUAGGACUUGUUCUGUUGUGGAGUCUGAGCGUACGCUUUGAGACCCGAAAGAUGGUGAACUAUGCCCGAACAGGACGAAGUCAGAGGAAACUCUGAUGGAAGUCCGAAGCGGUUCUGACGUGCAAA